rnacentral:lncRNA from 1 species
CUCUGACCCACCCUGCGCCACUCUGCCGCUCGCCGUCGCGCCUCCCUGCGCCACCCGCGGUCGCCGUCGCGCCGCCCUGCGCCCCGCCGCUGUCGCCGUCGCACCGCCCUGUGCGCUUGGAGCAGUCCGGCCACCUUAACAACUAAAGGUAUUGCUCUAAUCUCUUUUAUUUGGCUUGGGCAGUGGGUAAUGUAUGAAGAUUGGCUGAAAUUGGCUUUGGGUUUUGUUGGAUUGAAGUUUAAUUUCGAAUUGGCAGUGGGUAUUUCAAAUUGGCAGUGGGUUUAUUUGAAUUGAAGUUUGGGCAGUUGGUUUAUUGAGUUGGGCAGUGGGUUUAUUGAAUUGGCAGUGGGUAUUUCUUAGUAUUUUGUUGAAUUGGGCAGUGGGUUUAUUGAAUUGGGCAGUUGGUUUAUUUGAAUUGAAGUUUGAUUUAUGUUUUUUAUUUGAAUUGGCAGCCAUGAAUUUGAAGUUUGAUUUUAUGAUGAAGAUUUGAGGGAAGAGGAAGAGGAGGAGGAGGAGGAGAAAGACGAUGAUGAGUGAUCUGGGCUACUAACAUUUUAUUGUGUUUCAUGAAGUAUUAUCUGUUAAGAAGACUAUUUUAUUUCAUUAUUUGCUAUUUGGAACUUUGUUAUGAUGAAUUAGUAGUGUUUUACUUAUAUUCUUGGUGAAUUAUGAAUUUAUAAUAUAUAUAUAAAAUAUAUUUUAAAUAAAAAAACUAAAACGUAUUUUUGACGUAUCGUAUCUUGAUUUUUGGAAAAAUGACGUAUUUACGUCCCCGUACCGUAUCGUAUCCGUAUUACGUAUCCGUCCCCAUGCUUCUUAG